GAGGGCGGAGGGAGGGUUUAGAGAUGCUUGCGAUGUGGUCCUUACCUACGUGACGCGUCGGAGGUUGAGGUGAAAAAUCUGGCUUUGAUACCUUCAUGGAGUACUACGUUAUUUCAAUCCUGAAUCUGGUUCAGUUCUCUUAUUGACUUAUUAUAUUAAAAAUGUUUUUUAAAUUGCUA